CCGGCGACCAGCGCACGGGUGAGUAACACGUAUGCAACCUGGCCGUCACAGGGGGAUAACCGGUAGAAAUGCCGCCUAAUACCCCAUGACACCCUUUAGGGACAUCCCUGGGGGGUCAAAGGGAGCGAUCCCGGUGGUGGAUGGGCAUGCGGCGCAUUAGCUAGUCGGCGGGGUAACGGCCCACCGAGGCGACGAUGCGUAGGGGUUCUGAGAGGAAGGUCCCCCACAUUGGAACUGAGACACGGUCCAAACUCCUACGGAAGGCAGCAG
rnacentral:rRNA from 1 species